AUGGGGAUCUGCCCGGCCCGAGAGCCGUCGCCAGUCCCCUUCAAGGCCUUCCCCAAACCGCAGGACUAUUUCACACUUCCUCAUCGCCCAUCGUUACCAAGGAUUUGGUCCCUGCUAGUGAACUGUACUAUGCCGCUCCAGCCAGCCAGAGAAUCCCCCGCCGCCCCGCCCUCUCCUCCCUGUGCUGCAAGCAGCAGGCGCACCUCGCAAACGGAGGGCGCCCUUACUCCCAGCAAAUGGGCGAUAGAAAACCGAUUGGUGCCUAUGCCAUCCGCAAAAUACGCUGGUAUGAUGUCAGGGCAGCAUGAGUACGAGCAACUCUCUACAGCGCAACAGCGUCUUUUAUCCAGUAUAGCAUCAUGAAAUCAGACCGCUGUGACAUUAACCAAAAACACCAAAAUGUACCAGAAUAACGGGAAUAAUAGAUUAGAUUAAAUGGCCUGUAUUUGUAUAGCACUUUACUUAGUCCCUAUGGACCCCAAAGCGCUUUACACAACAUUCAGUCAUCCACCCAUUAACACACAUUCACACACUGGUGAUGGCAAGCUACAUUGUAGCCACAGCUGCCCUGGGGCGCACUGACAGAGGCGAGGCUGCCGGACACUGGCGCCACCGGGCCCACGACCACCACCAGUACGCAACAGGUGAAGUGUCUUGCCCAAGGACACAACGACCGAGACUGUCGGAGCCGGGGUUCAAACCGGCAACCUUCCGAUUACAAGACGAACUACUAACGUUUAACAUUAGAUUAGAUUAACCUUUAUUAGUCCCACACGUGGGAAAUUUGUUGUGCCACAGCAGAAAGUGUACAGUACAAAUUUCAAGUAUAGAGAAGGAUACAAACAGCUCAGAAUCUAAAGCAUAUUCCACAUUAUCUGUCAAACAUGAUGGAAGCAAUGUUAUACCAUAGGACUGCCUGCAGUGGAAUCAGGUCACUGGUUCCCCUCAGAUGAUGUGACUGCUGAUAGGAGCAGCAGGAUGAAUUCAGAAAUGUGCAGAGAGUACUAUAAUCUCUGCUCAAGCUCAGAGAUUUGGCUGAUGUCGGUUGAUUGGACUGCAUUUAAACAGUGUAACUCCAUAAGGACCCAAAGUGUAAUGCAAAAACAACCCAAAAUAUCCCAAGGCAAAGAAAUGGGAUAUUCUUAAAUGUUGAAACCAAUCACAUGAUCUGAGGCCAACGGAGCACGCUCUUCAGUUACCAAAAACAAAACUGAAGGCAGAGACACACACACGCAAGCCCAAAAGUCCAGCAGAGCAUUUGGACCUCAGUCAGUCACUGACUGCCAAGGAUUUUCAUCAAAGUUUUAAAAACAAUGAUUUCAUUUAAAAUCAUAUCAGGGUGUCCAGGUACUUUUGAGCCUCUGAAAUUGGGGGACAGUGCAUGAAAAUGGCUGUCAUUUCUAAACUGUUAGUGCACUAACUUUGUGAAAUCCCUGGAAUUAAAGGAAGAAGUGUGACAGCUUAAUAAGGGACAUUCCAUCUGUU
rnacentral:lncRNA from 1 species